AAGAGAGAGACAUGCGCGCAUAUCAAUAAGCGGAGGAAAAGAAACUAACAAGGAUUCCCCUAGUAACGGCGAGUGAAGCGGGAAGAGCUCAAAUUUGAAAUCUUAAAGGGUUUCCCUUUACGAAUUGUAGUUUAAAGAAGUGUUUUCUGUUGAGGUUUUGGUAAAAGUUCUUUGGAAUAGGACAUCAUAGAGGGUGAGAAUCCCGUAUUUGACCUUUACUUUCAACUUUGUGAUACACUUUCAAAGAGUCGGAUUGUUUGGGAAUGCAGUCCAAAAUGGGUGGUAAAUUUCAUCUAAAGCUAAAUAUUGGCGAGAGACCGAUAGCGAACAAGUACCGUGAGGGAAAGAUGAAAAGAACUUUGAAAAGAGAGUUAAACAGUACGUGAAAUUGUCAAAAGGGAAGCGUUUGACACCAGUGUUGUUUUUCUGAAAAUCAAUUAAAGAACUGUUUAUGCUAAGCUUGUUUAGACUUUAUCAGCUAAUCUGUUUAGUUUCUGAGCUUUUCUUUAAUGCACUUUUCAGUUAACAAGUCAACAUCAAUUUCUUUUGCUGUAAAAAAGCUUGAGGAAGGUGGCUUGAGAUUCGUCUUAAGUGUUUAUAGCCUCUUGCCUAUGCAGUCGGAGAGAUUGAGGUCUGCAGCGUAGAUCCUUCGGGACUAAAUGCAUUUGUGCUAAGUUAUAACAUUUUAUAGACAACUUGUUGACUAUGAUUUGUCUUGUAGCUUACUCGCUUAUGUUAUUUUACCUACGCUUAGGAUGUUGACGCAUGAGAUAUACGC
rnacentral:rRNA from 1 species